ACGGCUCAGUAACACGUGGACAACCUGCCCAAAAGUCUGGGAUAACCCCGGGAAACUGGGGAUAAUACCGGAUAGAUCAUUCUUCCUGGAAACUGGUGAGUGGUUUAAACCUCUGGGGCUUUUGGAUGGGUCUGCGGCUGAUUAGGUUGUUGCCGGUGUAACGUACCGGCAAGCCGGUUAUCAGUACGGGUUGUGGGAGCAAGAGCCCGGAGAUGGAUUCUGAGACACGAAUCCAGGCCCUACGGGGCGCAGCAGGCGCGAAAACUUUACAAUGCAGGCAACUGCGAUAAGGGAACAUCGAGUGGCAUUCAUAAUGGGUGUCUGUCCACCCGUCUAAAAAACGGGUGUUAGCAAGGGCCGGGCAAGACCGGUGCCAGCCGCCGCGGUAAUACCGGCGGCUCGAGUGGUGGCCGAUAUUAUUGAGCCUAAAGGGUCCGUAGCCGGCUUUGCAAGUCCUGUGGGAAAUCCAGCGGCUUAACCGUUGGGCGUCCGCGGGGUACUACAUUGCUUGGGACUGGGAGAGGUAGGAGGUACUCAGGGGGUAGGAGUGAAAUCCUGUAAUCCUUUGGGGACCACCGGUGGCGAAGGCGUCCUACCAGAACAGGUCCGACGGUGAGGGACGAAAGCUAGGGGCACGAACCGGAUUAGAUACCCGGGUAGUCCUAGCCGUAAACGAUGCUCGCUAGGUGUCACGGCAGUCGUGAAUUGCCGUGGUGCCGUAGGGAAGCCGUGAAGCGAGCCACUUGGGAAGUACGACCGCAAGGUUGAAACUUAAAGGAAUUGGCGGGGGAGCAC
rnacentral:rRNA from 1 species